AGAGUUUGAUCCUGGCUCAGGACGAACGCUGGCGGCGCGCCUAACACAUGCAAGUCGAACGAGAGAGAGGAAGCUUGCUUCCUCAAUCGAGUGGCGAACGGGUGAGUAACGCGUGAGGAACCUGCCUCAAAGAGGGGGACAACAGUUGGAAACGACUGCUAAUACCGCAUAAGCCCACGGGUCGGCAUCGACCAGAGGGAAAAGGAGCAAUCCGCUUUGAGAUGGCCUCGCGUCCGAUUAGCUGGUUGGUGAGGUAAUGGCCCACCAAGGCGACGAUCGGUAGCCGGACUGAGAGGUUGAACGGCCACAUUGGGACUGAGACACGGCCCAGACUCCUACGGGAGGCAGCAGUGGGGAAUAUUGCACAAUGGGGGAAACCCUGAUGCAGCGACGCUGCGUGGAGGAAGAAGGUCUUCGGAUUGUAAACUCCUGUUGUUGAGGAAGAUAAUGACGGUACUCAACAAGGAAGUGACGGCUAACUACGUGCCAGCAGCCGCGGUAAAACGUAGGUCACAAGCGUUGUCCGGAAUUACUGGGUGUAAAGGGAGCGCAGGCGGGAAGACAAGUUGGAAGUGAAAUCUAUGGGCUCAACCCAUAAACUGCUUUCAAAACUGUUUUUCUUGAGUAGUGCAGAGGUAGGCGGAAUUCCCGGUGUAGCGGUGGAAUGCGUAGAUAUCGGGAGGAACACCAGUGGCGAAGGCGGCCUACUGGGCACCAACUGACGCUGAGGCUCGAAAGUGUGGGUAGCAAACAGGAUUAGAUACCCUGGUAGUCCACACCGUAAACGAUGAUUACUAGGUGUUGGAGGAUUGACCCCUUCAGUGCCGCAGUUAACACAAUAAGUAAUCCACCUGGGGAGUACGACCGCAAGGUUGAAACUCAAAGGAAUUGACGG
rnacentral:rRNA from 1 species